rnacentral:rRNA from 1 species
AUUGAACGCUGGCGGCAUGCCGUACACAUGCAAGUCGAACGGCAGCACGGGAGCAAUCCUGGUGGCGAGUGGCGAACGGGUGAGUAAAGUAUCGGAACGUGCCCAGUCGUGGGGGAUAACGUAGCGAAAGCUACGCUAAUACCGCAUACGAUCUAUGGAUGAAAGCGGGGGAUCGCAAGACCUCGCGCGAUUGGAGCGGCCGAUAUCAGAUUAGGUAGUUGGUGGGGUAAAGGCUCACCAAGCCGACGAUCUGUAGCUGGUCUGAGAGGACGAACAGCCACACUGGGACUGAGACACGGCCCAGACUCCUACGGGAGGCAGCAGUGGGGAAUUUUGGACAAUGGGCGAAAGCCUGAUCCAGCCAUGCCGCGUGCAGGAUGAAGGCCUUCGGGUUGUAAACUGCUUUUGUACGGAACGAAAAGGUUUGGCCUAAUAAGCUGAGCUCAUGACGGUACCGUAAGAAUAAGCACCGGCUAACUACGUGCCAGCCGCCGCAGUAA